GACUGCGUGACGCAACGGUAGCGCAUUUGACUCCAGGUCUGAAGGUUGUGCGUUCAAAUCACGUCAGGGUCA